CUCUCAGGCAGGUCUGGAAUGGGGCUCACCCAGGCCUAAUGACCCCCGACUGAGGCAAGGCCCUGUGUCUGCUUUGCCCGAUACCCCAGGGAUCAUCAGGUUUUCCAAUCCGGCUGGUGAAGCAGGUGCUGUUCCCACCCUAGAACCCUUUUGGGUGGUUCUUCCCCAGCAUGGGGUAGCUUCCUCUCAAGAAUGUGCUGAUCAGUCCUUGGCAGGACACUCCAGGGCCUCCCCCAGAGGUCUUGGGGUUUUCUCUCUGUGCAGCCCUCUCCUGCCCUCCCCUCCCCGGGGCUCUGUCCCAUGAGUGGCAGUGCCUGGCUCUCCCCAGGCUCUCGGCUCCAUCCUGUGACUCAGGUCACCAGCGGACUCCACCCGAGCUGUCGUGGUGAGCUCAGACCUUAGCUCAGGGACCACUGCCUGUCAUCGCUGACGUCUAGUGUUCUCAAAGUCUUUGUUUCAUACACUGUUUGUUUUUUUGUUGUUUCAGAUGGGGGAGUAUCUGGUCCCUGUUACUCCAUUUCAGCUAGAAGCAGAAGUCAGCUGGCUUGUAAGCUAACACGUAAAGACAUCCUCGAUACGUCUUACAGGUUGAAGAAGCUGGAAUAACGCAGUAUGUACAGUGUAUUAUGGUCAUAAAAACUAAAUCUGCGCUUGAAGGGGAUUUGCUGAAGCAAUUCCACAGCAUCAGCUUCACCCAGCAGGCUGGGUCUGAUCAGCUAACUGAACUUCUGCAAGGACAACGUACGACAUCCACAGUAACAGACACGGCUCAGGCCAUCAUCCAUCUCUUUCAGUAACAAUGAGCACUCUGUGGGUUCCGUGACCGCUGACUGCUGCGCAACUCUGACCCGCAGGCUCAGGCACCUGACAGAGGGACAGUUGGGGCCUGGAGUCAGAAGCCCCAGGGCCGCACAGGGCUUACGGCUGGGCUGCCGCUGUUCUCUCCAGUGAUCAUCCAGGGAUGCUCGAAGAAACGCUUUCGGAGCCUUUCUCGAAAAUCAGCAUUACACGGGCCUCAUUCUGUGAUGGCAUGUGAUAAAAUCGGAAACUAACAAGCCCCACCCCAGGCACUGUAUCCAGGCGGAAAUUCAAAAGCCCUCUCCUACUUGAUUCACUAGUGGAACAAUAUCCAGGCGCAAAUUCAAAAGCCGUCUCCUACUUGACUCACUAGUGGAACAGAAACCCACGUUGAAGCGUUGGGCUGUUCACACGCUGCAGCUGGGGGGCCCAGGACAAGGUCGGGAGGGAGGCAGAGAGUACAGGCACGAGGCCGCCGCCCCGGAGCAGCCACAGCAGGGCCCUGGGCUGCCCUCGCGCCGAUGCAGGGAGCUCCACAAAGAUGCAGCAGAACACAAGGAAAGCCGGAGUCAGGCAGAAAUCCGUGUUGCUGGGGUCUGUAAACCAAAGCCAGCUCCUUGAAAAGGUCCGCUGCGUUGGAGCCUGUGAUUCUGAUUUAGAAGAGAUGGCGUCGCCAGCCUGGCCAACAUGGUGAAACCCCAUCUCCACUAAAAAUACAAAAAUUAGCCGGGCAUGGUGGCGCGUGCCUGUAAUCCCAGCAACUCGGGAGGCUGAGGCAGGAAAAUCACUUGAACCAGGGAGUCGGAGGUUGCAGUGGGCUGAGAUUGCACCACUGCACUCCAGCCUGGGUGACAGAGAGACAGCGUCGAUAAAUGGCAAUGAGAGAGGCGCGCCUGUGGCAAGGGCUUUGUGAAAGCUGUAAGAACACACUCCCUACAAAUUUAUACUGACACACCACAAACUUAGAGGAAGAGGUUUCCUAGGCCCUUCCCAAGGCCCUGAAGUUGACUUUCUAAGCCAAACAGACAGGACAUGUGGAUGGAAGGUCCACUUCUCAGAGAAAACCUGAAGCAAGCUCAGGAAACUUCUGGAGCUUUCUGGAGCUGCACGGAAAGCUGUGGAUAUGUGGCCCCAUGAGGUGGGUCUCUGAACUUGCACAGGCUUGACGUAUGGCACAAAAAUCGCAGAUGGAAAAGAGGAAACUACAGCUUUCACGCUAAUGUACAGUGUUUCUUACAAAG